GUGGAAAGACAUGAAGUUGGAGAAGUAGCAGGGCCAAGUCAUAUAGAAUUUUUUAGUCCAUGAUGAGGAAUCAGGAUUUUAUUUAAAGUGUAAUACAAAGAUAUUAGAAGAUAUAAAGCAGGCAAGGACUGAUUUAAUUCUGCCUGCUUUGUUUAAAGGAGAUUAAGGGGGAAAGAAUGAGAUGAAGGAACCUAUUCUGAUGGAGAUGUGGUUGUUUGCAUUAGAUAGUGGAGACAGAAAGAACCAAAUAUAUUUCUUAAGUAGAUCUAAUAGAAUGUGCUGAUAGAUUGGCUAUGGGAAAUGAGGAAAAGGGAAAUCAAGGAUGAUGCCAAAGAAGUUAGUCUAAGCAACUAUAGUAGGCUGAAAGAAAACAGGUUGGGGGAGGAGGGAAAAGUGAUUGGCUUUGAUUAUUAAGUAUGAGGUAUUGUACACCUAAAUGAGAUGUCAAUUAGGAAGUUGGAUAUAUGAUUCUAGAACUCAGGUCAGCACUAGAGAAAUUUGUAGUCAUGCAGGUGAUAUAUAAAGUCAUAGUAUUGUGGGAGAUGUCCUAGGAAGCGUGCUUAGGGAAGAGGGGAGGCCUAGAACUGAGGUAGAAAAACUGGGCUGUAUGUUAACUAAAGAAAGAACAAAUGUGUGACAGAAGAGAAUCAUUAACUUGAUAGAAAACUGCAGAGUGGAUGAAAAAAGAUAGAGGCAGAUAAGUGGCCCUUAGAUCUGAGGUGGAGGUCAUUGGUAAUCCUGGCAAAGUAGUUUCAUUUGAGUGGAAUAGUG
rnacentral:lncRNA from 1 species